AUGCACAAAACGUGGAUUUUAAACAUAACAAUAAAUGUUUAAUGCUUUCAAUAUGGCAAUAACUAGAUUGGCCUAACUGCCUCACUUGUCUUCCCCCUUCCCUUCCGAGCAGGAGCACUGAAAUUAGCCAUACAAAUCUUGCUGCACAAUUAAAAUGCCAUCCUGGUUAUGCUUCAUAUGGUGCCCCAAAUGUGGCUUAAAUGACUUUAUUCAAAGGAAGUAAAUGACAAGGUGUGGAAUGUAAUGAAUGCAGGAGGGCUGGAUUAUAGACUGUUGCACUACUGGUCCAUGUAGCUCUGCAUUGUCUGUUCUGAUUGGCAGAGGCACUUCUGAUGCCACAUUUGUCCCAGUGGACCAUUUCCCGCUGGGAUGCACCAAAAAAUGCGUGCUGGUUUCAUACCAGUUUUAAACCGCCAGGGCUCCCCUGCAGAAGAUCUUGGGAGCUGUAAUUUGAGGGCCUCACCUGGCUUACAAAAGAGCAACCAGGAGCUCACGUCAAGCUCCCAAUUGUUCCUUUGUAGCUACAUUUCUACCUGUGCCAUACCUGAUAUCACAUACGGCAUGGGACAGGUGGGAGUAGUUUGGGGAAGAAACAGCUUUGUGGGCCAAAUUGGGGACCUAUCUUCACACAACAAUGAAGGACAGAACCUUCCCAUGUUUCUUUUAAUUGGAAGGUAGUGAAGUUCUCAGGAUGCUGUGACUAUCUACUUAUUUGUCUUGCACGGAGUCGUGGAAUGCAUAUGGUUCUUGAUCUCACUGUCUAUGUCAUGUGUAUGUUUGUUCUUCUCUACAUGUGGGAGUUGACUUGGAUUAAGUCUUCCCCUGCCCCACUCUGAGCUGUUAUUUAGCUUCCAUCGAUUUAUCUUGCGAUAUUAUUUUUGCUUGUAGAGUUCAAAUCCACAGGUGUUUCUCAGGACUGGAACAAAGCAGGUGACUGCUUUUGCCUUCCUUGAUCCUUGCUUUCCAAGCAAAUUUCACAGGAUUACUCCCCCCCCUCCCCAUUCCCAAUUUUAUUUAUAAUGCCGAUGUAAAAGGUAAAGGUAAACGAACCCCUGACCAUUAGGUCCAGUCAUGACCGACUCUGGGGUUGCGGCGCUCAUCUAGCGUUAUUGGCCGAGAGAGUCGGUGUAUAGCUUCCAGGUCAUGUGGCCAGCAUAACAAAGCCACUUCUGGCGAACCAGAGCAGCACACGGAAAUGCUGUUUACCUUCCCGCUGUAGUGGUACCUAUUUAUCUACUUGCACUUUGAUGUGCUUUCAAACUGCUAGGUUGGCAGAAGCAGUGACCGACCAAUGGGAGCUCACCCCGUUGCGGGGAUUUGAACCACCGACCUUCUGAUCGGCAAGUCCUAGGUUCUGUGGUUUGAUCCACAGGCCCACCUGCGUCCUUGCCAAUGUACUGUAAUGCUAAUAGGCUUCACUAUUUCAUUGAAGUCUGCUUGCAAUUGAACAGGAAGUUCUAUUACUUUCUUGGCAAAGGAUUUGCUAUGGAUGAUGAGCUUAGAAGGGUUUCUCAAUUAAUGUAUUCAGUCAGCUUCUGAACCAAACUUUUGCAGUGCUUUCCUGCCUGAUUUCUGUGUUGAUGCUUGCUUGCCUUGAAUGCUGUCAGUGGUGUUUGACAACACCUGUACUAAUUAGGGAUAACACCCUGGAAUGCAAAGUUGAUGGAGAACUAGGUAGAAGGAAGAGGUAUUCUUUGGAUUAUUUUUAUUAAAGUAGUAAGACUUGGUUCCUACAAGAAUGAUAUAUGGACAUGAGCAAAAACUGCUUUUGAAAAAGGGGAGUAAUGAGCAGGAGAAAGAAGCAUAAGCUGCCUUAUCCAGAACCACCCUAGAAGAGCAUAUGUCUCAAGGUAUAAAAUCAGUUGCAAAACAGUUCAACACACUUGGACCUUCUUCAGGAGCUAAACUGAUAAGUGACCUGCAGAGAUCUCUGUUAUAUAUAGCCCCCAAUAUAUUUAUCUCUGCUGGCCAUUUUCCAGUUUAACCCCUGAAGAAAGCCUUUUAAACAAUGAUUGUCCAAAGUGUGUUAAGCUGCUUUGGAAAUAAAUCCCAAAUUGUUUUUACAGCAUCUUGAAACACAUGUUCCUUUGUUUUGGGGUUCAUUUUGGAUGCUCUCUGGGAUCCAGAAUCACACUGUUAGUCUGUCUAGUCAAUUUGGUCAACUCUGACGAAGCUAGGGAUGGAUGAAUCUAUCGGGUUUGGUUUCUCUCUGUUUUUCAUUUUUUUUAAAAUAUUAAGCUCAGUUCUCCAAUGCAUGUGUGUGCAUUUCACCAAACAUACACCUUUCUGUAUGCAACCUUGCAUAAUAUGCACAUUUUUGAAAGCUUUUUCUCCUAACAUAAUACAUUUUAAACACAUUCACUAAUAUAAGCAUUUUUGUGAGCAUGCUUCCUUAAUGCACGCAUUUUAAUGCACAUUUUUUGAUGGAGAACUGCAUUGCAAAAUUUGGAGAAGUGCAGAUUUAGAAGGAUAGCUAUGUCUCAAUUUGCAUACUGUUUGGGUGAGACUUGCAAACCAGGAUGUGAGCUGAAUGAAUUUGUCCCUGUCCUUACUCCCAGCCUUAAUAUUUUAUAGCCUUUUAAUUGGAAAUGGUGAGAAGCAAAUCUAAGACCAAAGGCAUGCAAGACAUGCAGUUUAGCACUAAGCUACAACCCUUUCCCCAGAAAACACAUGGCCCCCUGCUCCCAACCACUUUUGCUCCCUCUUCCACCAUCCUGGAGCACUGCUUCAGCCACACACAUGCAAGCAGCAGGUGGGCCACACAUCACCUGAAUCCACUGUCAGCUGCAUGAAGCCAAGCUUUUCAUGUGUUGAGUGAAUUUUGGUCAUUGUUGACCAUGAUUUUAUGAAACUCACAGGGGCUGCAGGAGGAACCCAUGCCAGGUAGAGCUACUUCUGUGUUGCACACAGACGGGGGGUUGAUUUGAAUCCAGCAUGCAACCACACUCUAGGAAAGGUGGGGUCCGGACCCCAGACACAGAGGCACAGCUGAGCCAAACAAAAGGAGCACUGGUUCAGACUCCUCCUGCAUGGUUGUGACCGUGAGCGCACUUCCUCCAUGAGCACUGCAGUGAAACACUGGGUAUGAACAGUGUUUGCUUGGUCUGCUAUAUGUAUCCAGGCUGGAGUUUUGUGAGGUGAGAGUGUGCAUGAGUUGACAUGGAGUACCUGGCUAUUAUCAGCAGGUGAGCUUACCUGAGAAUGAGCACCACACCUGUGUCUGCAGGACACUGCUCCCCAUAGCUGCCAAGUUUUCCCUUUUCUCGCGAGGAAGCCUAUUCAGCAUAAGGGAAAAUCCCUUAAAAAAGGGGAUAACUUGGCAGCUAUGCUGCUCCCUGCUGUUAGGAAGUGAAGAGUGUUAGAGCAGUCCAGCCCAGACAUAUAACAAAGAGGGUAGGAAAGAUGGUGGUGACAGCAGCCAUCAUACAUUACAGCACGUGUUCUCCCCACCCCUUUGCUUAAGUUUGUGGGGUGCCCUGGCCUCUCUAGUUGUUGGAGUGGAGUUGGAUUGAGGUUUUGCCCCUGAAGUCCAAAAGUCAGGGACCUGUUAAAGUUCUGAGCAGAGAAGUGUUAGCAAAGUGCCUAAGUUCCUCCAUAUGUUCUAGACUUGGGGUGUCCUGCGCAAAGUGUGUGCAGAGAAGCCUUUCUCCCUCUUUCCCAUCACAAAAGUUUUCUCCUGGUGAGUUGUACGUAGGGAUGUGGGAGAAAUUCAGUUCAGCCCAAUAUUUAGAGUUGAGCUUGCUGAAUUUGCACUUCCUGAAACAACCCAGGUGUAACCCAGAAUUUCCCAAACCUGGCUCUCUAGCUGUUUUUGGAUUAUAAUUUCCAUCAUCCCUGACCUGCUAGGUAAAGAUGAUGGGAGUUGUAGUCCAAAAAAACAACCAGCUAGAGACCCAAGUUUGGGAAACCCUGGUUAACCAAACUGCAGCAGUCAUUCAAAAUUCAGACUUCUCUGAAUUUUGCAAUACAGAUUUCCAGCUAAGUAAUGUGUACAAAAAUGCAUUUACUAGAGUAAAAAUGCACAUGUUCGUAAAAAAAAGUAAUUUAUAGGAAUUUGGAUUUGUACUUUGAAAGAAAGAGAGAAAACGAAAGUAAUGCAUGCCAAACAGAUAAACUUAAUUGCAGCUUUUGGUUGCUACUUUUAUAUGCCAUACUUUCACCAUUGUGGUAUAUUUACUCACUAAUGCUUCAUGACAUUAGUACAUAUUGUAAUGUCACAUUGUUAUUACAUGACUGCACAUAUUCACCCUAAUUGCAUAAUUAUCUAUAAUUGCACUAAUUCGGUAAAGACAUAAUUGACUAAAAUCAACAAGGAAAUACUGCCAAUAUGAAAAAGGACAUUAGAGGAAGCAGGGUUUCUUCCCCCCCCCCUCAAAUUAACUCUCUGAAAGCAUUCAGGUGUCCUUUAAAUGUGCUUCCAUCCACCUGGGGACUGCUUAUCGGUGAGUAGAUCCCAUAUGGUGGGAGAAAGUCAGGAUCAACCCAACCCAGUGUACAUGCGGGAGAUUCAAACGGAAUCAGCACCCAAAUGAGUUGAGGAUGUGGUUGGGGUACAGGGCACAAACAUGGGCACGCAUGCGUGGAAAGGCUAUACUUUGGCCAUGGGGGGAAAUGAAGCUAAAUGGUAAAUAACAAAGAACGAUUUGACUGGUUAGCUGGAUCCUUCCUUUGCCCCACCUGCCGCGGGCCAACUUUGACAGGUUGGUGCAACUGCCCACCUGCCAAUCAUCUGAUGCCAGGUGACAACUUGAAAGGGGGUUGCUGAGUCUGCUUGAAGACUGUCUGUCAGCACUGAUCAUCUGAUGGGUCAGUCAUCCCCAUUUGAAGUCCACUGUUAGGCAGUUUGUAUUCAUCUGAUGGGUGCUGAGAGCCAUCCCCUUCGACGUCUGUUUGCAAGCAGUUUGAAUACUAGCCACUGCAGACUUCCCCAUGGCCAUCAGUUGAUCAGCACCAAAGCCCUAUAUUCUGCACAAGGGAGUUCCGGAUGAGCUGCGAGAUCCAUUCUGUGGGAGGAUCAAAUCCCCCUGCAUCACAUCACUGAGUGGUGACUGAACUAAAGACCAUUAGCUAAUUCUGAUUGAAUGGUGAUACUGUGAUGUGGCUGGGCCACAUGAUGCUACAACAUGCUUGCUUUUCUUCACCAAAACACUUGCAAUCUAUCAAUACCCUCCUUGAAAUGUGCUGGUCAGAUGUACUGUAGUUCUUUUAAAUAGCAUGUAUGCUCUCCACCCACUCCAUUCUAGGCUAAGAAUGAUGUUGACCCUUUUUUGCCACAGCACCACACACAGGAUCAUAGGUGCCAACUUCCAGACUGAAAAAUCUGGGAUCGGCAGCUGCGCAGAACCAGAAGUCGUGCUGUGGCCAUUUUGGAACUGGGCAGAGCAACACUGGAAGUUGCUUCUACGCAUGCUCUGCCCAUUUCCAAAAUGGCCGCUGCUCCGGAAGUCACGCUGCGGCUAUUUUGGAACUGGGCGGAGCAGCACCGGAAGUCGCUUCUAUGCAUGCUCUGCCCAUUUCCAAAAUGGCCACCGUGCCAGAAAUCACUUCUGUGCAUGUCCAGAGACUCCAGACAUGCGCAGAAGGAGCCUCCCCGGGCCGGUAAGAAUCCAGGGGAUUUACAGGGGGUUUUAAAAUCCGGGCUGCCAGCGGGAAAUGGCUGGAAAAACGGGGGCUUCCCAGGGAAUACGGAAAACUUGGCAGCUAUGCACAGGACUUUUGUUGUUGCUUCUGACAUUGCAACUUCUAAUUCCCUUUCUCCCCCCCCCCAAACUAAUGCACAAUCAGUUUGAUCCUAGCUUGUGCCUGUGUGUGGACACCUUUUCUUAUGUGGGGUUGCCAACUUCUUUUUCUGGUCUUUUUCAUCUUGGUUGUCUCUUCUGGGGCCAUAUUUCCUACUUGCCCUUUGUUGAUCUGGUAGGUGGUGGUUCUCCCACUGUGAACUUAUUUAUUUCAUUUAUCCAGCACGUUCCCAACUUCUGAUGCUGUGCUGGUCACUCACGCUAUUGGCCGAUCCUGGCAAGUACGUGCUGGGACUUAUUGGGGCAGGGAUUUUGACCCUCCCAACAUAUUUGACUUCUUGCAUGUAUCCGGGUUGAGGUAGUAGGUUGUAUGGUUUAGAAUUACACCAAGGGAGAUAACUGUACAACCUCCUAGCUUUCCCUGGGUCUUGCACAAAACAGCGAGCAUGGUGAAAAGGCUAUAAACCUUCAAGAAUGUUUUGCUGUCCACUGUCAAAUUGAGAAACAACAGGUAAGGUGUGUUUUGUGAAUCUUUUUUUAAGUCAAUGAAGUCUCCUUUCCCUGGCAUGGACCACACCACAAAAGACAAAUCAGCUUUGUGGUUGGGCUACAAAGUUGCAGGCUGUUUAUGGAAUGGGGUCCCCUCCACACCUAUGGAUGGGAUUCUGUAGUAGAAGGGACGGCUAAAGUGGUCAAACCUUGUGAAGUUAAUGCCCCUAGCCCUGUCUGUAAAGCAUCUCUCUGCAUGACUAAAGAGUUGGCCAAGAACUGGUGUGUUGCCAUAGGAUCUACAAGUGAAUGAUGCUUCCAGAGGAAAAGGACAGGACUUUCCUCCCCACCUGACUGAAGGUAAUAUUAUCCUGGGCAAAGGAGAACAAUAGACACAGGACCAGUUUUGGGCUGAUGUUUGGAGACAGACAGUCAUAGCCAACUAAGCUCUAACUUAGGUUUAUUAAUGGGUCUACGCCCCCAAGCGGCCUGAUUAGCCACCUAAGAACCUGACGUGGCCAGGGUCUCUCCCAGCGUAACGCGGGACGCCGUCCUGCCCCCACGCUAAGGUGGGCAGCUAGGCGGCCCAACUGCAACCCAGUCCCACCAGGAAAUGGACCCAAUUUCUUAGACUCUGGACAGCUUAAAAGCUGCACAUUCAAGAAAGCACCUUGGUCACAUAAUUGACUUCUUCAGUUGUGGCUGCAUCCUGGAAUUUGCUUAGGAGCUUUGGUGUCUUGCAUUACUGCACCAGGUUCUGUUUUGUGAGCAUAUAUUUUGCUUGCUUCUCUGCCCACCCCUUUAAUUUCUCACAGACAAAGGACUCUAAGGACAAUUUGGUGAAUAUCUUAUGCUGUUAUGAGGACUGAGAGGGGAUAAUGUGCUUACCCUUUCUGUAUUGAAUGCAUCACAGUGUGUGUGUGUGUGUGCGUGCGUGUGCGUGUGCGUGUGCGCGUGUGUGUGUGUGCGCGUGCACGCACACACACACACUCACACACACAAACUCCCAUUUCCAGUAGAAAACAAGACACUCAAGAGCAAGCUCGGUUAAAACUUCUCUCAACUUUGUUAGCUUUCUACGUGCAAGGCAUUUUUGAUGUGAAUCAGCCAUGCAAUCUGAAUUCAUCUGAAUCAUAAAGCGGAAAAACCUUGGGGGUUGCAUGCUUAGCCCUAAUAUGCGGUGAUCUGACCUGAUUAGCUCUGUGCCAGGGCCGUACGGAACUGACAGCCCCAGACCAUUCCUCAGCCAUCUCUUUUGAACUACAGCUCCCAUUAGCUCCAUCCAGCAUGGCCAAAGGUUAGGAAUUAUGGGCACUGUGGUCCAAACCAUCCAGAGGGAAGCAGGUUGGGAAAAGACUGGACUAAGCCUACACACGUGUGGGUGUGCCAUGCAGGGUUCAGUGGUGCCUGUUCUGGUUUCAGCCAUGUCAUCUGAAUUCUUGAGUUCAAGGGACAAUUCCAGCACUUCUCAUUUACGCAGUUCAGUUGUACCCAGUGCCUCAAUUUCAUUGGCUCAGCCCACUCACCUGUCAUUGGGACUGACAUAGAACUGCAUCAGAUGACCAUGAGUUGUGGAUUCUUCAGGGGUGUCUUCCUCCAUGAUAUGGAAGCAUCCAGGAAGGAAAAGGAACAUGUUGCCCACCACCUAUGAGACACUUCCUGCACUCCAGGUUUUGCACUGCAGCAUCUAGUAGGGAGCAUAUUGGUUUCCCUCCAGGUAUUCUUAUUGGACUCCCGUUAGCCCCAGCAAGCAUGACCAAUAACCAUGAAUGAGUAGACUCAGAGUCCAACAACAACACCAGUUUUCCCCUCCUUUCUAUAAUUGCGUCAGGUUUUUUUUUUAAGAAUGUGGUGAGAGACUGUCCUUAUGUUUCAUUGAAAUCUGUUGCCAACAGCAAAGUGCUUUGUCUCAUUUAUGCCUUCAAAAGGAAUAUAGAUAUAAGGACUGCACAAUCACUUGGCCCUGGGAAUUCAUACUCCUAUUAAAGUUGGCGCUUGGGAACCCAUUUUGAUUGGGUCUAAAAUAUUUGUGGCCGGUUCACAGUAACUGGCACUGGACUUAAAACGUGGUAAGGGGCUCUUUCCCAUUUCAAACCUUUAAUCAUGAUUGAAGGCAGAAGGGGAAUUAAGCAGGGGGCAGGAUCCACUAAACUACACCUACCUGAAUGUUCUGUUACCUCUGUGUCCUUUUCUAUCCUUGGAAUGGUCAAUUUUUAUUUAUUUUUUAAUUUUGCAGAUAUAUUGCUGUAUUAAAUACAGGUUAGUGGAAAACACACACACACACCCCUUUGUUCAUCUCUGGGAAAUGUUCCUUAACUUUGUAAACUUGAUCAAACCAUAGGAAACACAGAACAGGAUGAUGAACCAGGUCCCCUUCUGGGUGCUGUUGUCCUUCAGCUCCCAUCUGCCCCAACCAGCAUGGCCAAUGGCCAGGGAUGGUGAGAGCUUUGAUUGAACAGCAGUGUUUUGGGUUCCCCAUCCAUUCUAUAGAAUGUUGCCUGCUUCAGAGAGAACCUCCUGCUUACUAACUGGAACCCGUGAGCAUUCCAGGACUGAAAUUAACAUGAAAGGUGUAGCCGUUUGGCAAUUCUGGAAAAGAGCAUUCAUAAUAAGAAUAUUGGACUGUUGAUUAAUUAUGGCAUUCCUAAUAUGUCCUUGAGUGCCCUUCUGUCAUAUGUCCUCCAUAUAUCCUUCUGCCGUAUGUUUUCCAUAUGUCUUGUCACUAAUUAGUUUUCCAUCAUAUGGCUUCCAUCACAUUAAUUAGACUUCCUGGAGAAUGUGACAGUAUUGCAAGCAAACAUGGACCUUUUGCAGUGGGCACAGGAACAGCUAAUCUGUACCUUUCAGCCCUUGAGCGAUGGAGCAAAAGGACAACGGAACAGGUGGAAAGGUAAUGUGUCAAGAUAUGGACAGAUUUCUCACUUUGUCUCACACCUUGGAUAGUGCUGGGUCUAAAUAAUGCCUGUUUAGAGAUUUCUCCGUGUUCCUUUUACUUGCCUAUUACUACAGUGCAUUACAAGAUACCUUCGGCUUUUCCUUGUUAAUUUGCUGGAUGUUUUAUGAAAACUAAGGGAAAUUCUAUCAGUCCUAGAUUCUUAGUUUAUUUUGCGAAGCCAAAAUGAGCAUUGCUCUGAAGUGAGUGGCAGAAGAAAAGAAAAUUCAGAAAGUUCAGAAAUGCAUCACUGUUUCUGGUCUGCUGUAAAGGGUGGAAGGUAGAUAGGAUCAGAGAAACGAGGCAUGUAGCUGUGAUGCAGCAACUGCAUGCACUGGUGUCCCAGCCACAUGUUAAUACACCAAGGAUGAUUUGCAGAAGUUCGUGAUGUUUCAAUAAAAUCCCUUUGCAGCUGUGAAAAUCUGAACAAGAGAACUCCAGUUCAUUCCAUAGUAGCCGAAAUGCAAUAUUAAAUUAAAUGCAAUGGAUGAGUUGUGGCUGACAUUUUCUUCUUCUUCAGGGGAUGCUUUAAAAAAGACAAGGUGUGCUAAGCCAAAAAGGGUUUUGCAUCCAAGACCUCAGGGGCAGGAGGCUUCCCAGCGUCGCCCACUGACACUGGGCAGCCAGAAUUCAAAGAAAGCAGAAUUCAGAGCAAAUUCAUGGAAUAAUAAAGGAUCAGAGGGAGGGGGCAGGAUUGCUGAUAAGGGUGGCCCACCAUUGCAUCACCCAUCGAAAGGUCAGAAAAGGACACAGGAAAUUCGAGGCUGGCUACUCCGAGUGGAAGGGGCCUUAUUGCCUCUAAGAUGUCUCUGUGGCACACAAAACAUUUGCAAACUUGUCGCAUUGCAGAAACACUUCAAGGCUGGGUUUCGUUACUUCCCCAUUUCUUAAUGGGGUGAUGUUUAUCUGAAAGCACCACAGGUAACUUGUGCAAUCCUCCAUGAGAGCUGGUUGAAUGUUAUGAUCAGGGAUGGUGCUGGGCAUUUUUUGAUGGUCCAUAGCUCAGCAAGGGCCUUCUGACAAGGGCUUCCUGGACCUGCUGCAUUAUGGAGGUAGACUCACUGAGAGUGUGGUGCAUGGAGGAUAUCUUCUCCAGGAGCCCUCAAAAACUGAGUGACACUGUCCCCAGCACAAAACUCAGCUGAGCCAUGAAAUUCCUGUAUAGCCAUUGGAAAGCCAUAAUCUUUCUCCAACAAACCCCUCCUUGUUAGCUGGCUUGGGGAACCUGUAGCCCUCCAGAUGCUGUAGAACUCCAAGCUCCAACAUCUCCAGGUAGUGCUUGGAAAGACUCUUGUCUGAAACUCUGGAAAACUGCUGCCCAUCAGUGCCCUGAGCUAGUUGGACCUAAGGAUAGGAGAGAAAGUGGACUCAGUUUGGACUUGAAGGCAACGUACCUAAAUUUGCACUUCCCUAAAAUAAUAUGCAAACCAAAACCCAUGUCCUCUGAAAUCUUCACUUCUCCAAAUUUUGUGUUGCCGUCCACUGACCAUUAAUGUGCAUAUACUGGGAGAUAGUAUGCAUAAAUGUAUAUAUUAGUGAAAAAUAACUUUUAAAAAAUCGAUUCUGUUGAGGGGGAUUGCAUGUGAAAAUAUGUAAAAUUGCAUUAAAUGUGUUUAUAUGAGGAGAAAUUUGCAUUGAACUCGGGAAGGAGCAUGUUUAUAUAAUUCAUAAAAGGGCAGUUUAAGUCAUUCUAUCCCAGCACACUCCAGUGUUGCAGUAUAAUAGCUGCCUUAGCUGCCUGCAAGCCAAUUAAGAAGUUCAAAUAAUCACUGCCACAAAUUCAUACUCAGGCUGCAAUCCUAUAUACACUAAGUCCAAUUGAACUCAGUGGGGCUUAAUUCUGAAUUGACAUGCAUAAGACUGUACUUUAAGUUGUCUUAUAGGUACUAUGAGGCAAGUAUCAUUACCCUCAUCUUACAGACUGAAGGAGGCUUGGAAAACAAAUACUUGUCUAUUGAGUUUAGAUGAUGGAGAAAUUUUGUUUUCUGUUGCUCUCUAGAGAAUAGAACCCAAUCCAACAGGUUCAAAUGAUAAGAAAGGGAUUUCAGCUGAACAUGAGAAAGACCUUUCUGAUGGAGUGAAGCCAGUCAACCUCUAAUGUGAAUGGCUUUAAAUGAAGAUUAAACAAAUUCAUACAGGGCAAGUCUCUCAGUGGCAGCUGGCCAUGUUGGCUGCGUAAUGAAAACAGUGGAGGAGAAGUUCAUAUUUGGAGCCAAAUCUAUCAAAUUUUUAUUUUCAAAGCUAAUAUGAUAACUGAAGUAGAGCCGUCCUUCAAAAGCUGCACUCACCCGAAUUUUGUGGUGCAACCCUCCAGCCAAACAUUCCCCAAGAAAAUGCAUAUGUAGGGGAUAGCAGGCAUUAAAAAGAAGAUAGCAUAACAUACAAAAACAUAUUAUAUGAGGAGAAAUAAAAAAAUGUGUGUGCUAGUCAAAAAUGCAUGUGAAAAUCUCAGAGAGAAUUGCACUAUAAUAUUGGUGAAUUUUCAUGAGGAUUUUCUUUUAAUGAAGUGAAAUUUGCAAAUAGCUGCAGUUAUGUGGAGAACUGAAUUUCAGAUUGGAAUGCCUGGGAUCACAGAUGAGUGGAGUGCUGUGGUGCUCAUGUUAUGCUUGUGGGCUUUCCAUAGGUAUCUGGUUGGCCAGGGUGAAAACAGGAUGCUAGACUGAUAAGACCUUUAAUCUGAUCCAGCAGGGCUCUCCUUAUGUUCUUAUGACAGUGGGGCAGACUGUGGCAGUGGGUGGUAGACUCUCCCUCCUUACACUUUUCCGGGGCUACCAAGGAUGUGCUAGGUCAAAUCAAGGACCUAUCAAGAAUUGCUUGCAGGCUUCCCACAGGCACUGUGAGAAAAGGAUGGGCCAUUUGCCUGAUCCAGGAAACUCUUCUUGCAUUCUUACAUUGCAAUAGUCGGUUCCCUGUACUGAACAGGAGGCCAAUGACUUUUGAGGUCCCUUCAAACCCUAUUAUUCUAAUAAUAUAACAUACAAGAAUACACACAGAGAGCAAAAGUUGCCAGGGAAUAGAACAAAUGAAAACAAAUCAACUCAGAUACAAAUAGUUACAGAAAACUUCUCAUGCAAUCUGUGGGAGUUUUAACAGUGAAGGAGAGACCUGCUCAUACGUACCACCAAUGCUAUUUUUCUGGGGGGGGGGAGGGAUGCCGGAAAUAAUCAUGAAUGCCCCACUUGUUCUCUUAUUAUGGCAAUGGCGCCCACCUGAGAGGUGCCGGAACUGAAUUCCGGCUGGGGGAAAAGCCUUGCUUACCCCAAACUGCUUUUGAUAAUUUCCUCUGAUUUAAAAGUGUGUUUGCUGUUUGUCAGAGGAAGAGGAGCUGAUGAUAAUAAUAAUAAUGUUUAAAGUGCACUUUGGCUGUGGACCCAGACACGUGGUUCCUUGGUUCCUGGCUAAUGUAAAGGAGCAGUAAUGAAGGAGCCCCUUUUGCAAACAAGAUAAUGUGAUUUUUCUGGAUCCACCAUUCUGUCUUAAAAUAGAUGUGACCUAAGAUGUCCACACACACACACACACACCCCACACACACCAUUAAAAAGGAUAAAAAGUUUUAUUUAUAAUCCUGUGUGCAGUUAAAGGAAAUAACUUCAAGAGCUUAGUUUUAAGGGGCUAUUGUGACUGGAAUCACUGGGAGGCCCCCUUGAAAGAGUCUCUGAAUAUUCCAUAUUUUCCUGGAACUGUCAAGGAAGGUCUGCCAAAUGGUCUUGGCGGCAUUCCCCGGUGCCCAGCCAACUUUGAGGCAACUGUGGGGACUCGGUGGGUUUAUGUAACCUCCGUUUCCAAUCCUGUUCGUACAUACAAAGCAUAUAGAUUUACUUAAAUAAUCUUGCCACAUGGAGGAGCAAACUGCUCUGCUUAUUUUGCCUCUGUGUCGUCAAGUCAGAAAGAAUUCAUUCAGAAGUCUACAAAAAGAGGUGGGUGGAGAGACUUCCUUUUACAUUAAAUUCUGGCUUAGAGACCGUUUCCAGUGCAUUGUGGGGUGGGGGAGAUUAUGUUUUUGGAACAUGAGCAAUAGUCAAAGUACCCAGGAAACUCCAUCCAUCUAACUGCUGCUGUCCAGGCAAUGUUUGGUUGUAAACUGUCUGGCUGUGGAGUGGGGAGGGGUUGUGGGGUCACCAGUGACAUCCUUAUGAUGCACCCUUGAACCUGGCUGUGGAGCAGGACUAAUUUCUUUAGGGGGGGGGGAGGGAAUAAAACCUUCCUUUUGGGGCGCUAAGCAGGUUAUAUGUGAGGUUUCCAGAAAUUAUGUUGCUAAAUGUGGUAAUAAGACGUGGUAGACGUUUAAUUAGUAUGCAGCCGAUAAGCAGGUGGGAAGUAUAAAAGGGCUAGAAUCAAAAGGGUAUUGUGCUACUUAUCUGUAAUGAAAUCUCUCGCUGAUAUGCAGAGAGAGAGAGAGAGAGUAAGAGAAAGACAGACAGACCUGGUUACAAAGGAUUAUAUUGCAUCCACCCCAAAUAUGAGAUAUCCCAAAUAAACAAUUAUGUGUUUUGCUUAUUCGUUAUGUAUCCCAGCCCUUGGCUUAUCGAGUUGCAGGAGCUGGAUUCCUCCCCUGCUCUUGUAAAAGAGCGGUGUUGUUACAUUUUGCAAUUUGAAAUUGUUUAGCUUAAUCUCUGUGCAUGAUCCAGUCCGGACUAUAAUAUCAUCAUGAUUCAGAAACAUAGACAGGCUCCAGGAGACUCCAAACAUUCCGCAUGCCCUGUUACUAUUUGUGGCAUUGCUGGGGAGGGAGAAGAGGGUGCUUCGAGGGAAGCAUGUGGCGGGUCAUAUGCACACACUGUCUGUUUGUGGCUUUGAUCUUUAGGCCCUGCACUUCAUCCUGCCUCUUUGUCUGAUUUUUGUACUUUUGGGGAACAGAACAAGCAGCCAAAGGACAGGUAUGUAUUGGGAGGUGCAGAGGAGGGAGGAAAUGAAAUUCAGGUCAUCUUUGGUUUGCUUAUUUAAUGCAUCCCUUAAACUGUCCUUCAUCAGUUAAUAUCUCAGGAAGGUUUGCACUAGAUAAAAUUAUCAGGUUUGGUAUAAGAUGUCACAAUCAUUAGAAGACUAUGUGUUUAUUAAAACCCGCAGCAUACAACUCCUCAAAUCGGUAUAGCAGCAGACAAAAGAAGUAGCUCUGGCAGUGUAUAGUGGUUAGACUGUCCUACUAGGACCUGGGAGACCAGGAUUCAAAUCCCCACUCAGCCAUGAAACUCACCGGGUGAACUUAAGCCGAAAUCACUGCCUCUCAGACUAAACUGCCCAACAGGGUUAUUUGGAGAAUUAAAUGAGAUGGGGACGGACGGAUGGAUGGAUGGAUGGAUGGAUGGAUGGAUGGAUGGAUGGACUAUGUAACCAGCCUUGAACUCCUUGGAGAAAAAGGUGUAAUAUAAAUGCAAUAAGAUAAAUAACUAAACAAAUAAAUGACAACAAAAUUAUUAAAACCCUACGUGUCUAUUAAAAUCCACAGCAUCCAACUCCUCAGGUCAAUACAGCAGCACACAUAGGUACCUACAGCCAUGGGUGUAAAUGGGGGGGCAGUUGUUGUUGUCCCCCACCCCACAUGGGGAACCAUAAUCUCCAGAUUCCCAGCUUUCAUUUGAAACAAGAGUAAGUUUCUAGCAUUUGUAGAAGCUGAGCUAGGAGGCAAAAUGUGCAGGCAUUCUUCUUCUCACUGGUUUGUGAGAACCUGUCCCCACUUUUCACUAUUUUACUUUGCCUGCGGCCUGAAAUAAAAUCCCACAAGCACACAUGCCUCUGCCCAUGAACACAACAAUGCCCCCCCCCAGUUUGGGUGAAAAGGUACAUCUUAAGUAGAGGCCGAAAAGUGAGGGGUGAGGAAGGUCUGCAACUAUGCAGAAGGGCUGAACCACAAGGGAGUACCAGGUUAGAAUGGACAAUGGCAACUGAAUGGCAGUUGGGGGUCAGCUGAGUCUUUUUGUCUCACUUUUCGCCAUGAUUCAUCCAGGUGGGAUAACCAGGUAGUCAGGUUAAAUAGAUGACCUCCCCACACACCUCAAUCAAUCCCUGUGGGUCGACCUAUGUAACCCAGACCACAAAUUAUGAACUUGUUUGGGACUUUACUAAUUUGCACUUUUUAAAAUGGUGCAACUUUCCGAAGUGGUUUAUAGAAAUUUGAACGAUGCCACCUCUGUAAGCGUACACCAAAAGAACCUCAUAACAGAAGAGCAUUUAAAAAGAAAGAUAGAUGAAUGAAUGAAUGAAUGAAUGAAUGAAUGAAUGAAUGAAUGGACAGGCUAUAUCGGUCACCUGAUGCUGGAAAAACAACAGAUGGCACUCUGAAUUUUUCUGGGGAGCAAGUUCCAAACAGGGGCGUA